UACGUAGGGGGCAAGCGUUAUCCGGAAUCAUUGGGCAUAAAGGGUGCGUAGGCGGCCCUGUGGGUCAGAGGUUAAAGGCUACGGCUCAACCGUAGUAAGCCUUUGAAACUGCAGGGCUUGAGUACAGGAGAGGAGAGUGGAAUUCCUAGUGUAGCGAUGAAAUGCGUAAAUAUUAGGAGGAACACCAGUGGCGAAGGCGACUCUCUGGACUGUAACUGACGCUGAGGCACGAAAGCGUGGGGAGCGAACAGG
rnacentral:rRNA from 1 species